rnacentral:rRNA from 1 species
GAGUUUGAUCCUGGCUCAGAUUGAACGCUGGCGGCAUGCCUAACACAUGCAAGUCGAACGGCAGCACUGGGAGCUUGCUCCCUGGUGGCGAGUGGCGGACGGGUGAGUAACGCGUAGGAAUCUGCCUCAUAGCGGGGGACAACUCGGGGAAACUCGAGCUAAUACCGCAUACUACUCGAGAGAGGAAAGCAGGGGACCUUCGGGCCUUGCACUAUGAGAUGAGCCUGCGUUGGAUUAGCUAGUUGG